ACUAAGCGUACACGGUGGAUGCCCUGGCAGUCAGAGGCGAUGAAGGACGUGCUAAUCUGCGAUAAGCGUCGGUAAGGUGAUAUGAACCGUUAUAACCGGCGAUUUCCGAAUGGGGAAACCCAGUGUGUUUCGACACACUAUCAUUAACUGAAUCCAUAGGUUAAUGAGGCGAACCGGGGGAACUGAAACAUCUAAGUACCCCGAGGAAAAGAAAUCAACCGAGAUUCCCCCAGUAGCGGCGAGCGAACGGGGAGCAGCCCAGAGCCUGAAUCAGUGUGUGUGUUAGUGGAAGCGUCUGGAAAGGCGCGCGAUACAGGGUGACAGCCCCGUACACAAAAAUGCACAUGCUGUGAGCUCGAUGAGUAGGGCGGGACACGUGGUAUCCUGUCUGAAUAUGGGGGGACCAUCCUCCAAGGCUAAAUACUCCUGACUGACCGAUAGUGAACCAGUACCGUGAGGGAAAGGCGAAAAGAACCCCGGCGAGGGGAGUGAAAAAGAACCUGAAACCGUGUACGUACAAGCAGUGGGAGCACGCUUAGGCGUGUGACUGCGUACCUUUUGUAUAAUGGGUCAGCGACUUAUAUUCUGUAGCAAGGUUAACCGAAUAGGGGAGCCGAAGGGAAACCGAGUCUUAACUGGGCGUUAAGUUGCAGGGUAUAGACCCGAAACCCGGUGAUCUAGCCAUGGGCAGGUUGAAGGUUGGGUAACACUAACUGGAGGACCGAACCGACUAAUGUUGAAAAAUUAGCGGAUGACUUGUGGCUGGGGGUGAAAGGCCAAUCAAACCGGGAGAUAGCUGGUUCUCCCCGAAAGCUAUUUAGGUAGCGCCUCGUGAAUUCAUCUCCGGGGGUAGAGCACUGUUUCGGCAAGGGGGUCAUCCCGACUUACCAACCCGAUGCAAACUGCGAAUACCGGAGAAUGUUAUCACGGGAGACACACGGCGGGUGCUAACGUCCGUCGUGAAGAGGGAAACAACCCAGACCGCCAGCUAAGGUCCCAAAGUCAUGGUUAAGUGGGAAACGAUGUGGGAAGGCCCAGACAGCCAGGAUGUUGGCUUAGAAGCAGCCAUCAUUUAAAGAAAGCGUAAUAGCUCACUGGUCGAGUCGGCCUGCGCGGAAGAUGUAACGGGGCUAAACCAUGCACCGAAGCUGCGGCAGCGACGCUUAUGCGUUGUUGGGUAGGGGAGCGUUCUGUAAGCCUGUGAAGGUGUGCUGUGAGGCAUGCUGGAGGUAUCAGAAGUGCGAAUGCUGACAUAAGUAACGAUAAAGCGGGUGAAAAGCCCGCUCGCCGGAAGACCAAGGGUUCCUGUCCAACGUUAAUCGGGGCAGGGUGAGUCGACCCCUAAGGCGAGGCCGAAAGGCGUAGUCGAUGGGAAACAGGUUAAUAUUCCUGUACUUGGUGUUACUGCGAAGGGGGGACGGAGAAGGCUAUGUUGGCCGGGCGACGGUUGUCCCGGUUUAAGCGUGUAGGCUGGUUUUCCAGGCAAAUCCGGAAAAUCAAGGCUGAGGCGUGAUGACGAGGCACUACGGUGCUGAAGCAACAAAUGCCCUGCUUCCAGGAAAAGCCUCUAAGCAUCAGGUAACAUCAAAUCGUACCCCAAACCGACACAGGUGGUCAGGUAGAGAAUACCAAGGCGCUUGAGAGAACUCGGGUGAAGGAACUAGGCAAAAUGGUGCCGUAACUUCGGGAGAAGGCACGCUGAUAUGUAGGUGAAGCGACUUGCUCGUGGAGCUGAAAUCAGUCGAAGAUACCAGCUGGCUGCAACUGUUUAUUAAAAACACAGCACUGUGCAAACACGAAAGUGGACGUAUACGGUGUGACGCCUGCCCGGUGCCGGAAGGUUAAUUGAUGGGGUCAGCGCAAGCGAAGCUCUUGAUCGAAGCCCCGGUAAACGGCGGCCGUAACUAUAACGGUCCUAAGGUAGCGAAAUUCCUUGUCGGGUAAGUUCCGACCUGCACGAAUGGCGUAAUGAUGGCCAGGCUGUCUCCACCCGAGACUCAGUGAAAUUGAACUCGCUGUGAAGAUGCAGUGUACCCGCGGCAAGACGGAAAGACCCCGUGAACCUUUACUAUAGCUUGACACUGAACAUUGAGCCUUGAUGUGUAGGAUAGGUGGGAGGCUUAGAAGUGUGGACGCCAGUCUGCAUGGAGCCGACCUUGAAAUACCACCCUUUAAUGUUUGAUGUUCUAACGUUGACCCGUAAUCCGGGUUGCGGACAGUGUCUGGUGGGUAGUUUGACUGGGGCGGUCUCCUCCUAAAGAGUAACGGAGGAGCACGAAGGUUGGCUAAUCCUGGUCGGACAUCAGGAGGUUAGUGCAAUGGCAUAAGCCAGCUUGACUGCGAGCGUGACGGCGCGAGCAGGUGCGAAAGCAGGUCAUAGUGAUCCGGUGGUUCUGAAUGGAAGGGCCAUCGCUCAACGGAUAAAAGGUACUCCGGGGAUAACAGGCUGAUACCGCCCAAGAGUUCAUAUCGACGGCGGUGUUUGGCACCUCGAUGUCGGCUCAUCACAUCCUGGGGCUGAAGUAGGUCCCAAGGGUAUGGCUGUUCGCCAUUUAAAGUGGUACGCGAGCUGGGUUUAGAACGUCGUGAGACAGUUCGGUCCCUAUCUGCCGUGGGCGCUGGAGAACUGAGGGGGGCUGCUCCUAGUACGAGAGGACCGGAGUGGACGCAUCACUGGUGUUCGGGUUGUCAUGCCAAUGGCACUGCCCGGUAGCUAAAUGCGGAAGAGAUAAGUGCUGAAAGCAUCUAAGCACGAAACUUGCCCCGAGAUGAGUUCUCCCUGACUCCUUGAGAGUCCUGAAGGAACGUUGAAGACGACGACGUUGAUAGGCCGGGUGUGUAAGCGCAGCGAUGCGUUGAGCUAACCGGUACUAAUGAACCGUGAGGCUUAACC
rnacentral:rRNA from 2 species